CGUAAGCAACCUACCCUAAAGACGAGGAUAACCAUUGGAAACAGUGGCUAAGACUGGAUAGGAAGAUAAAAGGCAUCUUUUAUCUUUUAAAAGACCUAGUAAUAGGUAUGCUUUAGGAGGGGCUUGCGCCAUAUUAGUUAGUUGGUAGGGUAAUGGCCUACCAAGACGAUGAUGUGUAGCUGGACUGAGAGGUUGAACAGCCACAUUGGGACUGAGACACGGCCCAAACUCCUACGGGAGGCAGCAGUAGGGAAUUUUCGGCAAUGGAGGAAACUCUGACCGAGCAACGCCGCGUGAAUGACGAAGUACUUCGGUAUGUAAAGUUCUUUUAUCAAGGAAGAAAAGCAAAUGGCGAACCAUUUGUUUGCCGGUACUUGAUGAAUAAGCCCCGGCUAAUUAUGUGCCAGCAGCCGCGGUAAGACAUAAGGGGCAAGUGUUAUCCGGAAUUAUUGGGCGUAAAGGGUGCGUAGGCGGUCUAGUAAGUCAGUGGUGUAAUGGCAACGCUUAACGUUGUCCGGCUAUUGAAACUGCUAAACUUGAGUUAGAUAGAGGCGAGUGGAAUUCCAUGUGUAGCGGUAAAAUGCGUAAAUAUAUGGAGGAACACCAGAGGCGUAGGCGGCUCGCUGGGUCUUAACUGACGCUGAGGCACGAAAGCGUGGGGAGCAAACAGGAUUAGAUACCCUGGUAGUCCACGCCGUAAACGAUGAGUACUAAGUGUCGGGUUAAACCGGUACUGAAGUUAACACAUUAAGUACUCCGCCUGAGUAGUACGUACGCAAGUAUGAAACUUAAAGGAAUUGACGGGACUCCGCACAAGCGGUGGAUCAUGUUGUUUAAUUCGAAGAUACCCGAAAAACCUUACCAGGUCUUGACAUGUUUUUGCAAAAUGAUAGUAAUAUCGUGGAGGUUACCAGAAACACAGGUGGUGCAUGGUUGUCGUCAGCUCGUGUCGUGAGAUGUUAGGUUAAGUCCUAAAACGAGCGAAACCCUUAUCGUUAGUUGCCAGCACGUUAUGGUGGGGACUUUAACGAGACUGCCAAUGAUAAAUUGGAGGAAGGUGAGGAUCACGUCAAAUCAGCAUGCCCCUUAUGACCUGGGCUACAAACGUGAUACAAUGGCUGUUACAAAGGGUAGCUGAAACGCAAGUUCUUGGCCAAUCCCCAAAAACAGUCCCAGUCCGGAUUGAAGUCUGCAACUCGACUUCAUGAAGUUGGAAUCGCUAGUAAUCGCGAAUCAGCAUGUCGCGGUGAAUACGUUCUCGGGGUUUGUACACACCGCCCGUCAAACCACGAAAGUUGGCAAUACCCCAAAACGGUAGCCUAACUCGUU
rnacentral:rRNA from 1 species